AUUGAACGCUGGCGGCAGGCUUAACACAUGCAAGUCGAGCGGGGGAAGGUAGCUUGCUACCGGACCUAGCGGCGGACGGGUGAGUAAUGCUUAGGAAUCUGCCUAGUAGUGGGGGACAACAUCUCGAAAGGGAUGCUAAUACCGCAUACGUCCUACGGGAGAAAGCAGGGGAACUUCGGACCCUGCGCUAAUAGAUGAGCCUAAGUCGGAUUAGCUAGUUGGUGGGGUAAAGGCCUACCAAGGCGACGAUCUGUAGCGGGUCUGAGAGGAUGAGCCGCCACACUGGGACUGAGACACGGCCCAGACUCCUACGGGAGGCAGCAGUGGGGAAUAUUGGACAAUGGGGGGAACCCUGAUCGAGCCAUGCCGCGUGUGUGAAGAAGGCCUUAUGGUUGUAAAGCACUUUAAGCGAGGAGGAGGCUACUCUAGUUAAUACCUAGCGAUAGUGGACGUUACUCGCAGAAUAAGCACCGGCUAACUCUGUGCCAGCCGCCGCAGUAA
rnacentral:rRNA from 1 species